rfam:Niastella sp. SCN 39-18 ABS68_C0027, whole genome shotgun sequence.
UUUGCAGUGGCAAGUCUUAUACGACCAGCUCCUGCUGAACUCCCCCAGGGCCGGAAGGCAGCAAGGGUAGGUGGUUGAGCGGUGUGAUAUAAGUAACUUGCCAUUUU